GGGACGGGGGUGCUUGCUACCUGCCGGCGAGUGGCGAACGGGUGAGUAAUACAUCGGAACGUGCCCUGUAGUGGGGGAUAACUAGUCGAAAGACUAGCUAAUACCGCAUACGACCUGAGGGUGAAAGUGGGGGACCGCAAGGCCUCAUGCUAUAGGAGCGGCCGAUGUCUGAUUAGCUAGUUGGUGGGGUAAGGGCCCACCAAGGCGACGAUCAGUAGCUGGUCUGAGAGGACGAUCAGCCACACUGGGACUGAGACACGGCCCAGACUCCUACGGGAGGCAGCAGUGGGGAAUUUUGGACAAUGGGGGCAACCCUGAUCCAGCAAUGCCGCGUGUGUGAAGAAGGCCUUCGGGUUGUAAAGCACUUUUGUCCGGAAAGAAAUCGCACUGGUUAAUACCUGGUGUGGAUGACGGUACCGGAAGAAUAAGGACCGGCUAACUACGUGCCAGCAGCCGCGGUAAUACGUAGGGUCCAAGCGUUAAUCGGAAUUACUGGGCGUAAAGCGUGCGCAGGCGGUUGUGCAAGACCGAUGUGAAAUCCCCGGGCUUAACCUGGGAAUUGCAUUGGUGACUGCACGGCUAGAGUGUGUCAGAGGGAGGUAGAAUUCCACGUGUAGCAGUGAAAUGCGUAGAGAUGUGGAGGAAUACCGAUGGCGAAGGCAGCCUCCUGGGAUAACACUGACGCUCAUGCACGAAAGCGUGGGGAGCAAACAGGAUUAGAUACCCUGGUAGUCCACGCCCUAAACGAUGUCAACUAGUUGUUGGGGAUUCAUUUCCUUAGUAACGUAGCUAACGCGUGAAGUUGACCGCCUGGGGAGUACGGUCGCAAGAUUAAAACUCAAAGGAAUUGACGGGGACCCGCACAAGCGGUGGAUGAUGUGGAUUAAUUCGAUGCAACGCGAAAAACCUUACCUACCCUUGACAUGCCACUAACGAAGCAGAGAUGCAUUAGGUGCUCGAAAGAGAAAGUGGACACAGGUGCUGCAUGGCUGUCGUCAGCUCGUGUCGUGAGAUGUUGGGUUAAGUCCCGCAACGAGCGCAACCCUUGUCUCUAGUUGCUACGAAAGGGCACUCUAGAGAGACUGCCGGUGACAAACCGGAGGAAGGUGGGGAUGACGUCAAGUCCUCAUGGCCCUUAUGGGUAGGGCUUCACACGUCAUACAAUGGUGCAUACAGAGGGUUGCCAAGCCGCGAGGUGGAGCUAAUCCCAGAAAAUGCAUCGUAGUCCGGAUCGUAGUCUGCAACUCGACUACGUGAAGCUGGAAUCGCUAGUAAUCGCGGAUCAGCAUGCCGCGUUGCCUCA
rnacentral:rRNA from 1 species